UGAAAAGAGUACAAUGUCCUCCUGGAGGGGUAAAAUUUUCCAUACUCUAAAGAGAGGCCAUUUACUAUUCAAUUUGCGUUCAUUUUCAAAUUUGCCGCGCGAGUAUCUAUGUAGCGUCGCGUGGUCAUUGGUCAUCAAGUCAUCAAUUAUUUCAUUUUCAUCAUAAGAUAACCUAAAAAUUUAGUAAAAAUUUUGAUUGGAAAAAAAUGCAUCGAUAAGGGGGUGAAAAAUGGAAAUUAGUGGCUUUUUUUGCUGUACUCAACUGUACUGUUUAGUAUGCUAAUAGUUUUGGCUAUGGCUGGAUCUCUUAAACAAUUAUAAUCAGCUGAAAGUGGUCUACAAAAAACCAGAUAUAACCAAAAUAAAGAUAUAAAAAGUGUAUUGGCUAAUUGGAAGAAACAACAUUGUCCAUGCAUAAUAAGUUAUUACUUUAUAAACAAAUAUUAAUACCUAGGAAUGGAACCUGGAUAUAAUCAUCAAGAAGAUAGCAGGAAUCCCGACAAACAACUUAAAUAAGUACAAGAAUAUUGAGGAAAUCCUCCUCGAUACUACUGGGCAAACUAGAAGAUUGAAGAGGACAAAGCCUUUUGAACUAGUUUGAGUGAUAGGUGAUAGUGAAAAGCAGAGCAUAGUGCGUGAUGUGGCUGUGUAUGUUAGAAUAGUGCACGAUCUUGUUAGAUUAGAUAAGAGACGCUAUCGGGUAAGCUCUUCAUUUUAAGAAACAUUAGUAAUUUAGGUUAAAUUAAAAUUGCUCAUUGGUCAGUUAUGACCAGAUUGCUUUUUUUAUGUUUGGCAAAAAGGGCGUAAGUCAGAAUUGCACAUUGCUAAUGUUUUGAUGAUUUCUGGACCAGCAAAAAACUGUUGUAGACGUAAACUGUAUGUACCAAUAAAAAGAGCCGAUUUUUCUGGUCCAGAAA